AUACGUAGGGGGCGAGCGUUGUCCGGAAUGAUUGGGCGUAAAGGGCGCGUAGGCGGCGCGGUAAGUCUGGAGUGAAAGUCCUGCUUUCAAGGUGGGAAUUGCUUUGGAGACUGGUUGGCUUGAGUGCGGAAGAGGUAAGUGGAAUUCCCAGUGUAGCGGUGAAAUGCGUAGAGAUUGGGAGGAACACCAGUGGCGAAGGCGACUUACUGGGCCGUAACUGACGCUGAGGCGCGAAAGCGUGGGGAGCGAACAGGAUUAGAUACCCUGGUAGUCCACGCUGUAAACGAUGAAUGCUAGGUGUAGGGGGUAUCGACCCCUCCUGUGCCGGAGUAAACGCAAUAAGCAUUCCGCCUGGGGAGUACGGCCGCAAGGUUGAAACUCAAAUGAAUUGACGGGG
rnacentral:rRNA from 1 species